AUGUCGACUAGCUGCCGCGCUCCGGCCAACCGCUGCAUCUGCAAGACGCCGUCGGGGAACCCGCUGCCGCGGCGGGGCCAGGUCAAGGAGAGCAUCGCCAAGCACAUCGUGGCGGCCGCCGUGGCCACGGCGUCGGUGCUCGUCUGCGACGCCGACGCGGGCGGCAAGAAAGGCGGGGCCAAGCCGCCCGCCCCGCCCGCCGGUGCCAAGAAGAAAUGA
rnacentral:rRNA from 1 species